rnacentral:rRNA from 1 species
AUUGAACGCUGGCGGAAUGCUUUACACAUGCAAGUCGAACGGCAGCACGGACUUCGGUCCGGUGGCGAGUGGCGAACGGGUGAGUAAUGUAUCGGAACGUGCCCAGUCGUGGGGGAUAACGUAGUGAAAAUUACGCUAAUACCGCAUACGAUCUAUGGAUGAAAGCGGGGGAUCGCAAGACCUCGCGCGAUUGGAGCGGCCGAUAUCAGAUUAGGUAGUUGGUGGGGUAAAGGCCCACCAAGCCAACGAUCUGUAGCUGGUCGGCGAGGACGACCCGCAAGACUGAAACUGCGACACGGUCCAGACUCCUACGGGAGGCAGCAGUGGGGAAUUUUGGCAAAUGGGCGAAAGCCUGAUCCAGCCAUUCCUCGUGCAGGAUGAAGGCCCUCGGGUUGUAAACUGCUUUUGUACAGAACGAAAAGGUUUCUACUAAUACUAGGAGCUCAUGACGGUACUGUAAGAAUAAGCACCGGCUAACUACGUGCCAGCCGCCGCGGUAA